UGAAGGUAUCGGUUAUGAGCAAAAACACCUCUCCGUAUGUUAUUUUUAAAGUUAGGAAUCUUAAUUUAUGACGUUUCAGCAUCCUGGGUUAUAGAAGCAGCUACUCUAGAUGGAAGAACAAAUAUUCUAGAGAUAAAGAGCUAAAAUCUGUGUAGAAGUAAUAGAAAGGGGAAGACGGAUUCCACUGUGGACCAGUUCAGUAUCAACACUGAAGAUUCAAGCCUGUUUCUCCUCAUUACUCCUAAAAAUCUAUAAGAUAAAGCAGCAUCCAUGGAGAAAUAAUAAAGUUUGAGGGUCAGUAUGCAGAGUUAAGUAUACCAGUGGGGAUGGAAUUCUGAGUGCCCAUGCAGUUGUUACAUCAGGACCUGCCUUGUAACAACCACGGUUCCAUCACGCGCCAUGCACUACGCUGCCACAAUCAGCGUGUUCUCACUGCCCGUUGGAGUGACGACAGCCUGUAGAACCACAGGACUUACCUUCUUUUGCUGUUGAACUUGUUCUGUAUGCUUAUUCAUUUUCCAUUAAGUGUUGAGGUAUGAGGAAACCAGGGUGACGUCCUCUGUGGAAUCCUCCUGUACUAAAACAGUAUUUUGCCUGUGCUAGAACCAGAUGCUGCUUUUGCUGGAGUUGGUUUACAGGGUUAUAUGAUAUUACUGAUGAGAUUUAUCAGAUUAUUACUUGCCUUGGAAAGAAGAGGAAGAUUGCUGUGUGGAGUGAUGCUGCAAGGGUAGUUUUCUGUCCAGUGUGCACGUGCUCAUCGGCUUUCUUCUCAGCUCUGAAAUGCUGCCAAGAGCAGCCAGCAAGGAGACAGAGUACCCUGACCUUGGAAAAAGGCUCUAAUCUGGUGUCUUUAUAGAGAUGAGGAAGCAGCUUUGACAAGUAGAAGUUAAGCCCUAGAUGGUCCCAGACUAUCUAGC
rnacentral:lncRNA from 1 species